rnacentral:rRNA from 1 species
UACAGAGGGUGCGAGCGUUAAUCGGAAUUACUGGGCGUAAAGCGUGCGUAGGCGGCUAUCUAAGUCGGGUGUGAAAGCCCCGGGCUCAACCUGGGAAUUGCAUUCGAGACUGAAUAGCUAGGGUACGGUAGAGGGAAGUGGAAUUUCCGGUGUAGCGGUGAAAUGCGUAGAUAUCGGAAGGAACAUCAGUGGCGAAAGCGACUUCCUGGACCAGUACCGACGUUCAGGCACGAAAGCGUGGGGAGCAAACAGG